GACGAACGCUGGCGGCGUGCUUAACACAUGCAAGUCGAACGGAAAGGCCCUGCUUUUGUGGGGUGCUCGAGUGGCGAACGGGUGAGUAACACGUGAGUAACCUGCCCUUGACUUUGGGAUAACUUCAGGAAACUGGGGCUAAUACCGGAUAGGAGCUCCUGCGGCAUGGUGGGGGUUGGAAAGUUUCGGCGGUUGGGGAUGGACUGGCGGCUUAUCAGCUUGUUGGUGGGGUGGGGGCUUACCAAGGCAUUGAAGGGUAGCCGGCCUGGGAGGGUGACCGGCCACAUUGGGACUGAGAUACGGCCCAGACUCCUACGGGAGGCAGCAGUGGGGAAUAUUGCACAAUGGGCGGAAGCCUGAUGCAGCAACGCCGCGUGCGGGAUGACGGCCUUCGGGUUGUAAACCGCUUUCGCCUGUGACGAAGCGUGAGUGACGGUAAUGGGUAAAGAAGCACCGGCUAACUACGUG
rnacentral:rRNA from 1 species